UGUCUUGUAGUCAUAAUUUUUAAACUUCUUAUUUAUAUUUUAAUUUCAACUCUUUUUGGGAUUUGCUAAGGAAAUCUAUACAAGUUCCUAAACAUCUUACAUCCACAUUUGAAACAUCGAAUGAUGUUUGGGUUACCGACUUAAAGGACUUAAAUUUGGAAGCAUAUUCUGUCAAAUUCUCAACACCAAAUUUAUAAUCUCCUUUCUCGUGGAAUAUUAUCUUUGAAAGUUUUACAAGAGCUCCCAAUAAUAGUUGUACUAAUGUAUCAAAUAUAAAAAAACGCAGUACAUGGAGAAGUUUCUGAAUUCAUUCCACUUAUAUUGACGACUAUUAAUUUUCAACCAACAGUCCCAAGAAGGAAAUUAUUAAUAACAUUUUCACUUAAAUAAAAUGUAAAAAAUGUAGCGCGUAUUAGAAAAAAAAGUGUACUAGAUUUCGUUGAAAAGUUUUAACAGGCAUCCAUUAUUUCCAAUUACAUGUAUUACUGGUCACGAUAACUAGUAGAGUCGAUCUGGCAAUGUCUGUCUGUCGAAGCGGAACAUCUUUACAUGGAGACGAACUGGUUCGCGAACAUGAAGUUCGAACCCUGAUUCACCUUACAACAUCGUCGGUUGGAUAAAAUUAUAUGCUCUGUAACUUGUAACGAAAUAAAGUGAUGGAAGGCAUUGGGUGUGGUGGUUUUGCUUGUACAGAUACCUUUUCGCUACAGACAUUAAUGAAUAAGAUCAAGAAUUGAGCGUGCUUGCAACAACAGAAUAGAUUAGCUAAUAUACAAAAUCGGAGGAAGCUAAUUAAUCCAUUCUGAUGGAGACAGUUCUAAAAAGGGAGGAAAGGCUUGAGAAUUCGUCGCCAGCGAAACACCGGUGUAAUAAUGUUCGCGGAUUGCCCUACCCUACCUAUGACCACUUUCCUUAAGAGCAUGGCUCCCCUUUGGUACCCUAUGUCCGGAGAAACAUCAGCCGAGUUCAGUAUUUAAGUUUUUAGAAAUUCAUGUUUCCUGUAUUCAUGGUAGUGACUAAUAAUUAAUAACAAUAUUUAUAACUGAUGAAAAUAUGUAUGUAAUAAGGUCAAUGCACUGUGUCUCCCUCUUUUGGUCGCGGUAACCAAAAGCUUUUUUCUCUUAUUGUGAGAUUCCCUUUAGCAUGUAAUUCGGCUGCCUGCGUGCAGUAAUAUUGUACUCAAGAUUAGUCACAAUAAAUAUUUCAAGCGAAUAAUAACUAAUAAUAAGUACAUAAUAAGCUAAAUAAAUACAAACUAAAG